rnacentral:lncRNA from 1 species
CAAAAGCUGAGCGCUGUUUAAACCUUCUCCGCUUGUCCUUUGAGUUUCUGGAGCCUUCCAACUCUAGUGAGGUUUUCACAGCUCCAUUCCUCUGCUCAAAGUAUUUCUCUUCAUGUGAUUUAUUCCUGGCACCAUUGGCUCUUCGUGAUUACUCAGAGCCAAGGAGCCUAACAGAGUUCUGCUUCCUCCAGUGUUUCACUUCUAUCUGAUCAGAAUUGUAGAACAUGAUCCCCUGCACAAGAAAACAGCCUAUUUCUAAAGGCUUUUCUGAGAACCUCUUACAUGUAAGAUCCUGCUCAGCAUGAAAACAGGGCAUCAUUAUCUAUCAGGGAAGAAUGCCACAGACCUGCAGGCUGAGAAACGAAUGCAGAAGGGUUAUACCAGGAUGCUUUUACAUUUUGGAUGGCUGUACAGGAGUGCCUCUUGAGCUGCCUGAGGGACUGCUGGAUCAUCUUCUUUCACACAUCUCUGACAUCUCCUUCGUGCAACCUCUUCUGGUUCUGCUGAGCUACUGAGACAUAUCAGCUGCGGAUCCCUGAGCGCUGUCGAGUGGAGAGAAGCAGAAACUGGGCUGAAUCAGCAGAAAAUCCAAGAGAGUUAGGAAGUGUUUUCUGCUCCUGAAAAUACACUGAUCAAAUAUUGAUCUAGUCUGCUGAUUCAAUAGUUUUAUGUUCUCAUUUUAAGUCCUCUUUAAUUCCUGAUGCCUCUUAAUUAUUGCAGCAAUAAUUAAUAAGCUUUUCAGGAAAUGCAAAGGAAGAUCUCAUCCUCAGCUGAUGAAAAUCAUCAUAGACCAACAGAAGUCCAUAAACAGAGAGAUAUUUCCACCAAGAGAGUUUGGCCAUUAUCCUUCCUUCCCCCUACAUAACUGUCUUACUUUCUUCCCUGCUGUUUAAUAAUCUUAUUUCUCUCCUGUUAAAGUCAAAAAAGUCCUAGAUUUUUCUCCCUCCCUCAGCCUCUCUCUCUCCCUCUCCCUCUUUCUCUUUCUUUUUCUCUCCCUCUCAUGAACACCCCCUCUCACCCACCCCACAGGCUAGCUUAUAUGCUGUUCUUUAGAGACUGCGGUGAAAUCCUCUAUACACAUGUAAGAAACUGUUACUGGGUAAUUCUGCACAAAGCCACAUGACUUCGAUCUUUCUUUACUUCAGAGGAAAAAGGCUUGGCACUUGCCAACUGCAAACAUAUAUCUGGGAUAUAUGUUUUUAAAAUAUUUUAAUAGAUAUCUAUCAAAAAGAAGCUGAU